GCACCCAUAGCUCAGUGGUUAGGGCACCAGCCACGUACCCUGGAGCUGGUGGUUAGAACCCGCCUGGGCCUG
rfam:Otolemur garnettii contig199470, whole genome shotgun sequence.